rnacentral:piRNA from 1 species
UAAUGGGAGCCAGAAAUCCUCUAAGUGC